UGUACAGCUGGACAAUGACAGUGAAGCCAUGCAAGAGUUGAACCAGUCACUAUGCAGUCAGCAGUUGUGUCGAAUCGAGUGCGGCACCCACUCAUCCACUGAGUCAGAGCGAUUGUUCAGCAAAGCUGGAUAGAUUAUCACGGAA